CGAACGCUUGCGGCGUGCUUAACACAUGCAAGUCGAACGAGAAAGGGGACUUCGGUUCCUGAGUAAAGUGGCGCACGGGUGAGUAACGCGUAGGUAAUCUACCCUAGUGUACGGAACAACAUCGGGAAACUGGUGCUAAUACCGAAUAAGCUUUAAGUAUCGCGAGGUAUUUAAAGGAAAGGUGGCCUCUUCAUGAAAGCUACUGCACAAGGAUGAGCCUGCGUACCAUUAGCUAGUAGGUGGGGUAAUGGCCCACCUAGGCGACGAUGGUUAGCGGGUCUGAGAGGAUGAUCCGCCACACUGGCACUGGAACACGGGCCAGACUCCUACGGGAGGCAGCAGUGAGGAAUUUUGCACAAUGGGGGAAACCCUGAUGCAGCGACGCCGCGUGAGUGAUGAAGGCCUUAGGGUCGUAAAACUCUGUCAAUAGGGAAGAAAUGUGCGAUGGCCAAUACCCAUUGCAUUUGACGGUACCUAUAAAGGAAGCACCGGCUAAAUCC
rnacentral:rRNA from 1 species